rnacentral:rRNA from 1 species
UACAGAGGGUGCGAGCGUUAAUCGGAAUUACUGGGCGUAAAGGGCGCGUAGGCGGUUAAUUAAGUUAGAGUUGAAAUCCCUGGGCUUAACCUGGGAAUUGGCUAUAAUACUGGUUAGCUAGAGUAGAGUAGAGGGAAGUGGAAUUUCCGGUGUAGCGGUGAAAUGCGUAGAUAUCGGAAAGAACAUCAGUGGCGAAGGCGGCUUCCUGGACUCAUACUGACGCUGAGGCGCGAAAGCAUGGGGAGCAAACAGG